ACGGAAGGCAGCAGUGAGGAAUAUUGGUCAAUGGGCGGAAGCCUGAACCAGCCAAGUCGCGUGAAGGAUGAAGGUAUUAUGUAUUGUAAACUUCUUUAGCCAGGGGGCAAUAAGGCGUAUGUAUACGCCGAUGAGAGUACCUGGAGAAUAAGGAUCGGCUAACUCCGUGCCAGCAGCCGCGGUAAUACGGAGGAUCCGAGCGUUAUCCGGAUUUAUUGGGUUUAAAGGGUGCGCAGGCGGCUUUUUAAGUCAGUGGUUAAAUCGUGACGCUCAACGUCAUCACGCCAUUGAUACUGGAGAGCUUGAUUGCGGUCGAGGUUUGCGGAAUUCGUCGUGUAGCGGUGAAAUGCAUAGAUAUCACGAAGAACUCCGAUUGCGAAGGCAGCCAUCUGGCGUGUUACUGACGCUCAUGCUCGAAGGCGCGGGUAUCAAACAGGAUUAGAUACCCUGGUA
rnacentral:rRNA from 1 species